rnacentral:rRNA from 1 species
UACGGGGGGGGCAAGCGUUGUUCGGAAUUACUGGGCGUAAAGGGCUCGUAGGCGGCCAACUAAGUCAUACGUGAAAUCCCUCGGCUUAACCGGGGAACUGCGUCUGAUACUGGAUGGCUUGAGGUUGGGAGAGGGAUGUGGAAUUCCAGGUGUAGCGGUGAAAUGCGUAGAUAUCUGGAGGAACACCGGUGGCGAAGGCGGCAUCCUGGACCGGCAUUGACGCUGAGGCGCGAAAGCUAGGGGAGCAAACGGG